CAAUAAGUGCCUGAAGGGCAAGGCUAGGGCAUUUGUAGUUCGAGGCUCUACCACUCUGUCUAGGUCAGACCUAGGAAUGCUGCAGGUGUUGCAUAAAUGCUCAUCAGUCCAGGCUGGACCGCUCAUGCCCAACUAAGUGCCAAGCCUGGCCUGGCUGAUCUCACAGCCUGCAUUCUUUGCCCUACACCUGUUGUGGGAAAACGUAAAUCCUCUCAUUCUUAGCUAACCUUGUGACCCCCGUUCUGGGCCAGCAAAGAUGAUCCCAAAUACUUAGGACUCUGGCCUUUCGCACUACGUGGCUACUGACCCCACCCCCUGGGCUUGGAGGGCUCUAGGACCCAACAACCUGCGGAGGGUGAAGAGUGUGUGAGGUCCUGAC
rnacentral:lncRNA from 1 species